UGGGGAAUAUUGGACAAUGGGGGGAACCCUGAUCCAGCCAUGCCGCGUGUGUGAAGAAGGCCUUAUGGUUGUAAAGCACUUUAAGCGAGGAGGAGGGUACUGGUAUUAAUACUACCAGCUACUGGACGUUACUCGCAGAAUAAGCACCGGCUAACUCUGUGCCAGCAGCCGCGGUAAUACAGAGGGUGCGAGCGUUAAUCGGAUUUACUGGGCGUAAAGCGUGCGUAGGCGGCUAAUUGAGUCGGAUGUGAAAUCCCCGAGCUUAACUUGGGAAUUGCAUUCGAUACUGGUUAGCUAGAGUGUUGGAGAGGAUGGUAGAAUUCCAGGUGUAGCGGUGAAAUGCGUAGAGAUCUGGAGGAAUACCGAUGGCGAAGGCAGCCAUCUGGCCUAACACUGACGCUGAGGUACGAAAGCAUGGGGAGCAAACAGG
rnacentral:rRNA from 1 species